UUUCGGUCACCUGACUUCCAGUGCUGCCUCAGCCUGAAUUGGCAGUACUCGUGUUGAUUGUUGUUCAUGUUACAGAGAUCACCCGUGGAUUCCCUUCCUGAAGCCCCCAUCGUGGCUGGGUUCUUUUUCCCUGCUGCUGCCAGCCUCUUAAGAAUGGACAUCAGCGUGGACAGCGGCUACAUACAUGCCGGCUACGGGAGUCCACUGGCGUGCAUGUUGAUGUCGUUUAAUGAUUAAAUUAGAAUAGUCGGGCAGACGGCAAUUUGGAAUAAUACGAUGCGGAGGGCCAGACGUGGAGGAGACUGGGGUGCCUUGGUGGUGGGAUCCUUUGAGUAUUACACACCUGUGUUUUUAGUUCAUUAUUGUGAGCCUGUGACAGUGCGCUGCACUUGUGUAUCGACAUGCCCUGUAAGGACAUGAGGAGGAAACGGUGACAAAAGGAGCUGUGUGAGGCUGCUAAAGGCAGUGGAUCCCUCCCCACCUGGAUUAAAAAGAGCACAGGUAACAAUAACACACGUACCAGUUGUUGCAUUGCAGACUUAUUCAAGUAUAAAAACAAUAAUAAACACAAUUGCAGUGUUAUAGUUCUAUAACAUGUUUCCAUCAUUGCUUUAUUAUGGAUUAGUUGCAAGAGCUGUUAAGUGUGGAUAAUUAAAUAAUAGAUUGAUGCAAUAGCAAAUUGGGCAUUUUUCUGAGAUGGACAGCAAGUGGAGAAUGAUGGGGGGGGCAACCAGGUGAGGAGUACAAAGAUAGUCAAACAUGGUGGUCGAAUGGCGUUGUUUGCAUGACUGCUGCUCAUACUAGGGAGCUACAGUUACUUGAGGUAACCAUGAAUGCCAACUUGUACUGUGACAUACUCAGGCAGAGCAUGAUCACCUCCCUUCGGAAACUGGGCCACAGGACAGUAUUCCAACAUGAUAACAAUCCCAAACACACCCCCAAAAGGACUGUUACUUGCUAAACAAACUGAGGGUAAAGGGACUUGACUGCCCAAUCAUGUCUCCAGACUUAAACCCAAUUGAGCAUCUGUGGGGCAUCCUCAAAUUGAAGGUGGAAGAGCAAAAAGUCUCUAACAUCCACCAGCUGUAUGAUGUCAUCAUGAAGGAAUGGAAGAGGAUUCCAGUGGCACCCUCUGAAGCUCUAGUGAAGUCCA